AUUGAACGCUGGCGGCAUGCCUUACACAUGCAAGUCGAACGGCAGCAUGAUCUAGCUUGCUAGAUUGAUGGCGAGUGGCGAACGGGUGAGUAAUACAUCGGAACGUGCCCUGUAGUGGGGGAUAACUAGUCGAAAGAUUAGCUAAUACCGCAUACGACCUGAGGGUGAAAGUGGGGGACCACAAGGCCUCAUGCUAUAGGAGCGGCCGAUGUCUGAUUAGCUAGUUGGUGAGGUAAAGGCUCACCAAGGCGACGAUCAGUAGCUGGUCUGAGAGGACGAUCAGCCACACUGGGACUGAGACACGGCCCAGACUCCUACGGGAGGCAGCAGUGGGGAAUUUUGGACAAUGGGCGAAAGCCUGAUCCAGCAAUGCCGCGUGUGUGAAGAAGGCCUUCGGGUUGUAAAGCACUUUUGUCCGGAAAGAAAUGGCUCUGGUUAAUACCUGGGGUCGAUGACGGUACCGGAAGAAUAAGGACCGGCUAACUACGUG
rnacentral:rRNA from 1 species